CUGUAAGAACAUGGAUCAACAAAUUAGUGAAGCCCUGAAUGUCAGAAUUUAGCUAUUUAUGACAGGCUUGACAGCACUAUUUCGUAUUGAAGAAUUACAAUAUUUAUCUGUCUAUAAGAUUACAAUGUCCAAAUAUUUGAGCUAUAUGGGGCUUGAAGUUGAACUGUUUCAUCCACACUUGGUUAUAAUAUUUAUAAACCGAUCUGCCGAUAUCAAAAACCCGGCCUUAACGCUCUCUAAGCUAUGCAUAUUUGGGCAUAGUUUGGGAAAGCCUCAGAAGAAAAAAAAACACGCAUUCCAAAGGGAGAAAGGUAAAUAUAUGGAAAUAUUUUGCUUGGAACCCACGACUUCUUAUUCGGGACCCACGAUUUUUUACCCACGACCCACGCCUUUUUACCCACGACCCACGCCUUUUUACCCACGACCCACGCCUUUUUACCCACGACCCACGCCUUUUUACCCACGACCCACGCCUUUUUACCCACGACCCACGCCUUUUUACCCACGACCCACGCCUUUUUACCCACGACCCACGCCUUUUUACCCACGACCCACUCCUUUUUACCCACGACCCACGCCUUUUUACCCACGACCCACGCCUUUUUACCCACGACCCACGCCUUUUUACCCACGACCCACGCCUUUUUACCCACGACUUUUUACCCACGACCCACGACAUUCUACCCACGAC